rnacentral:lncRNA from 1 species
UCAGGACUUUUGGGCCAUGAUUGAGAUAAACAAACUUUAUUUCGAGUAGACCGGCCCCGUAGCACAUGAUUAAUUUACAAACCAAAAAAUAAAAACAUAAUGAAAUCAUGAGCUACGCAAAUCGAAUCAAGAAGUCAAUUAACAAUGCAGUAAACUUAAAAUAAAGUGUCAAUUAACAUAUGCAGUACUACAUUUUUAGGGAUUUAUUUAUAAUUUUUUUU